UACAGAGGUCCCAAGCGUUGUUCGGAUUCACUGGGCGUAAAGGGUGCGUAGGUGGUCGGGUAAGUCGGAUGUGAAAGCUCGGAGCUCAACUCCGAAAUGGCAUUGGAAACUACCUGGCUAGAGGAUUGGAGGGGGGACUGGAAUACUUGGUGUAGCAGUGAAAUGCGUAGAUAUCAAGUGGAACACCAGUGGCGAAGGCGAGUCCCUGGACAACUCCUGACACUGAGGCACGAAAGCUAGGGGAGCAAACAGG
rnacentral:rRNA from 1 species